CUUCCUCGAGACUUUCUCAACGUCAUUUGCCUGCAAAACAAUCGCCAAAUGUUUUGUUACCCAAAUUACCCUGAAUGAUAUUGAUAAUUCCAUCCAUAUCCAUGUAAUGCCAACUUAACCCAUUUCUCUGUUACCCAAAUUGAGACGCGCAUCAAACUGGGAACCACGACUCCAAGGAUCGUAGAGGUUCGCUCGCAGCCAACAAAAUCUCACCAUUUCUCCUCAUCCCCACACCCAUCAUCUCCAGUCCCUACUCUACAUCAGUAGUGAAAAUAUUAUUUUCUUUUCUUACUCCACGACUUGGUUUUGGACUUGGACUUGGCCAUCAGUCAUCACCCCCGGUGUAGUGUAUGCGGAAGAUAUACCUAGCUAGGUCCAAGCGUCCUGGUCCAGUGGAAGUUCUCUGGCCUUCUAUAGUGAGUUGUUGAAUUAUUACACGGUGGCGGCUCUUGGUGCCAUGCCUGCUAUGAACAAGAAUUCUGAGCGAAGUCACAUUGGGAACGUAUUCAACAAGUUGCUGAAGCAGAUUGGAAAUCCUGUAGAUUUUGAACUUCCAGAUUGGUUUAAUAAAUGGAAACCGAUGCCCUACACUUUUAUAAAGCGCAAUAUAUAUCUCACGAAGAAGAUUAAAAGACGACUUGAGGAUGAUGGCAUAUUCUGUUCCUGCAGCCCAUCACAAGGGUCUUCUAGUGUUUGCGGUAGAGAUUGCCAUUGUGGGAUGCUUCUGUCUAGCUGCUCCUCAGUCUGUAAAUGUGGAAGUUCCUGUCUGAACAAACCAUUCCAGCACCGGCCUGUGAAGAAGAUGAAACUGGUGCAGACUGAGAAAUGUGGUUCUGGAAUUGUGGCGGAUGAAGAUAUUAAGCAAGGAGAAUUUGUGAUAGAAUAUGUGGGAGAAGUUAUUGAUGACAAAACAUGCGAGGAAAGGCUAUGGAAUAUGAAACACCGUGGAGAAACAAACUUUUACUUAUGUGAAAUCAAUCGAGAUAUGGUUAUUGAUGCCACAUACAAAGGAAACAAGUCGAGAUAUAUAAACCAUAGUUGUUGUCCUAAUACUGAGAUGCAAAAAUGGAUAAUCGAUGGCGAAACAAGAAUUGGUAUAUUCGCAACUCGUGAUGUAAAAAAGGGAGAACACCUGACCUAUGAUUAUCAGUUUGUUCAAUUUGGUGCAGAUCAAGAUUGCCAUUGCGGUGCACGUGAUUGUCGGCGAAAACUUGGUGUCAGACCUACCAAGCCAAAGAUGUCAUCAGUUGCUGCUUUGAAACUAGUAGCAUGUCAGGUGGCUGUGUCCUCUCCCAAAUUGAAAGCAAUUCUUUCUGCUAAAGACGUUUAUCAGAACGGGGGUCUACAUAUAGGAAAUUCACAACCUUUCCAUAACCAAAGAGGUACACGUUCUUGUAAUUGCAUUGGUGAAGUGAUUCGAAUAAGUCGCCCCACGAAUCAGAGAUCCUUUGGGAUUAUCAAGCGGUUUGAUAGAUAUUCCAAAAAACACUCAAUCAUGUUUGAAGAUGGUGGCAUCGAAUUCCUUGACAUGUCAAAAGAAGAAUGGGAACUUGUAACACUGUGAUAUGAUUGUGAGUUUUGUAGGUUUUAUAUGAACUUCAAAGGAGUUGCUGGAGUUGGGGGGCCCUGGCCACAUCAGGCCUAUGUGUGGUUCUGUCCAUGACUUUAUCGACAUUUGUGUUCAUGAUUCUGCUGAAGCAAGGAUGACGUGUGGUGGUCCGCAAUCGUAACAUGUAUGACAGUACCCAAUAACUAAAGUUAGUGAACGCUGAUUUAGAUUUCAAUCUGCUGUCUCAUUAAACAAAGGAUCAAUUCUUUGCAAUGCAUGUUGUAACAAAUGUACCAAACCUAAGUGAUAAUAAAGCCCCCCCCCCCUCCCUAAAGAGAAAAAAAAAGAAAAGAAUCAGAGGUGUUAAUCUCGCAAAGCAAGUAUUUUAUAUUCCUUGCAUAGGGCUGAUGAGGAUGUUGUAUUAAAUAUAUUCUGCACCUUUUCUUUUCUUUUCUUGUUUGGAUAAUAAGUAUGCGUCUGUUCUAGUUUAAUAAGAGAUUAUUGUUGU